AGAGCGAACGCUGGCGGCGUGCUUAACACAUGCAAGUCGAACGAGGUCUGUAGCAAUACAGAUACUCGUGGCGAACGGGUGCGUAACACGUGGAUAACCUUCCUUCAGGUGGGGAAUAACCCAGUGAAAAUUGGGCUAAUACCGCAUAACAUGACGAGGGCACAUGCUUUUGUCUUCAAAGGCGCAAGUCGCCAGAAGAGGGAUCCGCGGCCGAUUAGCUAGUUGGUGAGGUAAUGGCUCACCAAGGCUUUGAUCGGUAUCCGGACUGAGAGGUUGGCCGGACACACUGGAACUGAGACACGGUCCAGACUCCUACGGGAGGCAGCAGUGGGGAAUCUUGCACAAUGGACGAAAGUCUGAUGCAGCAACGCCGCGUGGGGAUGAAGCUUUUCGGAGUGUAAACCCCUUUCGACUCGGACGAAUGCCCGCAAGGGCUUGACGGUACGGGUAUAAGAAGCCCCGGCUAACUACGUGCCAGCAGCCGC
rnacentral:rRNA from 1 species